UAAUACGGAGGGUCCAAGCGUUGUCCGGAUUUAUUGGGUUUAAAGAGUGCGUAGGUGGUUUAUUAAGUCAGUGGUGAAAUCCUGCAGCUCAACUGUAGAACUGCCAUUGAAACUGAUAAACUUGAGUUUGGUUUAGGUAAGUGGAAUUUAUGAUGUAGCGGUGAAAUGCAUAGAUAUCAUAAGGAACACCAAUAGCGAAGGCAGCUUACUGGACCACAACUGACACUGAGGCACGAAAGCGUGGGUAGCGAACAGGAUUAGAUACCCUGGUAGUCCACGCCGUAAACGAUGCUCACUCGAUGUUAGCGAUAUAUUGUUAGCGUCCAAGCUAAAGCGUUAAGUGAGCCACCUGGGGAGUACGCCGGCAACGGUG
rnacentral:rRNA from 1 species